CGCCCGCCGUGAGAAGCUCCACCAGCUGGUGUCGGACUUCCUCUGCUUCUUGGACGUUAUCCGCUCCAGCCAGGAUAUCGUCGACGUAUGAGUGACGUCGCAACGCUUCCGCUCCUCGUGGGAAACGUUUGCCCUCAUCAUCGGCGAGCUGCUGGAGAACCCGAAGAGCCAGAAAGGGUGCGGGGGUGGUUCCGUACGUGACCGUUGUAAGACGGAAGUCCCGCACUUCCUCGAAAAAGCACAUCGGAAAAGUCUCCAGCGUGUGAGGACCAUCCAUAACUCACUCUGCAGUUUGGGACCUGGCAACAAAACCGAAUUAAGCGAUGACCUACCCGUGGAAACACACGAUGCAUUGAAAACGACGCGAAUCUUCGCAUCGUCGCCAUCUCCUUUCCAUACGCCGUGGUGAGGUACUCGUCGAGGAAUGCAGCGUACCUCUCCCGGAGACGCGGGUCACGUUCUCGGCGCCGUUCCGAUGUUAGCAGCAUCCGGGCGGCUGUUACUCGUGUCACCCCUACAUCUUCGGCCGGUUGAGAGGAAAAUGGCAAACGUACCACAUAGCGUCCCGUACCGUCCCUCGAGUGAGUGUUCGAAAAAUGUUCCUCGCACUGGAUCUCGGAGGGGUGCAAGGGCGCUGUCGUCGGAACGUUUUCGAUCUCCCAGAAGCGCUGCAGCGAGACGAGGCUUGGACUGGUCCCAGCGGAGCCCAGCCAAAAGGAGUCCGCACUAGCGGAGGAACACCUGGUGGACCCACGCGAUUCUCCAGAAACAGGAAUCCGCACACGUCAGCGCCCAGGAGAGCAUCGACUCGAGAUGGUACCCUGAAGUUCU